CGACCGGGGCGACAGCAAUAUGAAGGUCAGGCUGAAGACCUUACCCGAUUAGCUGAGAGGUGGUGCAUGGCCGUCGUCAGUUCGUACUGUGAGGCAUCCUGUUAAGUCAGGCAACGAGCGAGACCCACGUCCACAGUUGCCAGCAUACCCUCCGGGGUGAUGGGUACACUGUGGAGACCGCCGCUGCUAAAGCGGAGGAAGGAGUGGGCAACGGUAGGUCAGUAUGCCCCGAAUCUCCCGGGCUACACGCGGGCUACAAUGGUUGGUACAAUGGGCAUCUACCCCGAAAGGGGAAGGAAAUCUCUUAAAGCCAAUCGUAGUUCGGAUUGAGGGCUGCAACUCGCCCUCAUGAAGCUGGAAUCCGUAGUAAUCGCGUUUCAACAGAACGCGGUGAAUACGUCCCUGCUCCUU
rnacentral:rRNA from 1 species